GACGAACGCUGGCGGCGUGCCUAAUACAUGCAAGUUGAGCGCUGAAGGUUGGUACUUGUACCAACUGGAUGAGCAGCGAACGGGUGAGUAACGCGUGGGGAAUCUGCCUUUGAGCGGGGGACAACAUUUGGAAACGAAUGCUAAUACCGCAUAAAAACUUUAAACACAAGUUUUAAGUUUGAAAGAUGCAAUUGCAUCACUCAAAGAUGAUCCCGCGUUGUAUUAGCUAGUUGGUGAGGUAAAGGCUCACCAAGGCGAUGAUACAUAGCCGACCUGGGAGGGUGAUCGGCCACAUUGGGACUGGGACACGGCCCAAACUCCUACGGGAGGCAGCAGUAGGGAAUCUUCGGCAAUGGACGAAAGUCUGACCGAGCAACGCCGCGUGAGUGAAGAAGGUUUUCGGAUCGUAAAACUCUGUUGGUAGAGAAGAACGUUGGUGAGAGUGGAAAGCUCAUCAAGUGACGGUAACUACCCAGAAAGGGACGGCUAACUACGU
rnacentral:rRNA from 1 species